GCAUGCAAUCAUACCAACUCACAUGCACCAGAUUCCAUCAAAAUUCUGAAGUUAAGUGAGUUUGGACGAGAGUAGUACUAGGAUUGGUGACCUUCUUGGAAGUCCUCGUAUUGCAUCCC